UGGGCGUAAAGAGCGUGUAGGCGGGUAAAUAAGUUGGAAGUGAAAUCCUAUGGCUCAACCAUAGAACUGCUUCCAAAACUGUUAACCUAGAAUGUGGGAGAGGUAGAUGGAAUUUCUGGUGUAGGGGUAAAAUCCGUAGAUAUCAGAAGGAAUACCGAUUGCGAAGGCGAUCUACUGGAACACAAUUGACGCUGAGACGCGAAAGCGUGGGGAGCAAACAGGAUUAGAUACCCUGGUAGUCCACGCCCUAAACGAUGUACACUAGUUGUUGUGAGGCUAGACCUUGCAGUAAUGCAGUUAACACAUUAAGUGUACCGCCUGGGGAGUACGGUCGCAAGAUUAAAACUCAAAGGAAUAGACGGGGACCCGCACAAGCGGUGGAGCAUGUGGUUUAAUUCGACGAUACGCGAAGAACCUUACCUGGUCUUGACAUAGAAAGAACUUUCCAGAGAUGGAUUGGUGCCUGCUUGCAGGAGCUUUCAUACAGGUGCUGCACGGCUGUCGUCAGCUCGUGUCGUGAGAUGUUGGGUUAAGUCCCGCAACGAGCGCAACCCUCGUCGUUAGUUGCUAACAGUUCGGCUGAGAACUCUAACGAGACUGCCUACGCAAGUAGGAGGAAGGUGAGGACGACGUCAAGUCAUCAUGGCCCUUACGACCAGGGCUACACACGUGCUACAAUGGGGUAUACAAAGAGCAGCAAUACGGUGACGUGGAGCGAAUCUCAAAAAUGCCUCCCAGUUCGGAUUGUAGUCUGCAACUCGACUACAUGAAGUUGGAAUCGCUAGUAAUCGUAGAUCAGCUAUGCUACGGUGAAUACGU
rnacentral:rRNA from 1 species